CAACGGCGCAAAUUUGUGUAUAGAUAUAGCGAGUAUUUUACAACGAAUUAUUCCACAACUUAGAGAAAAACUAUUUCAUAUUAUAUUUUUAAACACUUUAAAAUAUUAAAAUACACGGGCAGAUGGUGAACAGCGGCGAGUUGGAAAAAAGCGCAAUUGUUCCCUCAAUGGGGCUCAUUGUCUUUUAUCCCCGUUGUGAGGCGACAGUGAGGGGUGAAACAAAAGAACUUGAACCCGGAGCACCUGCUCACGGACACGAGAUUAAACCCCGGGCUGAUUGUAUUGGGAUCCCGGGGGCGCGUCACGCCUGAUCAAAUGAUGCGGCAAGCGUGAGGCCGUGAACGCGCACCAAUGGAGCCAAUGCACAUGGAAAUGAGUCCUAACGACCAAUAUGAGAUUCCUUGAAGAAAUAAAGGCAGCACAUAAGA